AAUAUUUUACAAUGGGCGAAAGCCUGAUGCAGCAACGCCGCGCGAGGGAUGAAGGCCUUCGGGUCGUAAAUCUCUUUUAGCUGGGAUGAUAAUGACAGUACCUGAAAAACAAGACACGGCGAACUAUGUGCCAGCAGCCGCGGUAAUACGUAGGUGGCGAGCGUUGUCCGGAAUUACUGGGCGUAAAGGAUGCGUAGGUGGAUAUUUAAGUGGGAUGUGAAAUCCCCGGGCUCAACCCGGGAACUGCAUUCCAAACUGGGUAUCUAGAGUGCAGGAGAGGAAAGCGGAAUUCCUAGUGUAGCGGUGAAAUGCGUAGAUAUUAGGAGGAACACCAGUGGCGAAGGCGGCUUUCUGGACUGUAACUGACACUGAGGCAUGAAAGCGUGGGUAGCAAACAGG
rnacentral:rRNA from 1 species